AUUGAACGCUGGCGGAAUGCUUUACACAUGCAAGUCGAACGGCAGCACGGGGGCAACCCUGGUGGAGAGUGGCGAACGGGUGAGUAAUACAUCGGAACGUGCCCAGUCGAGGGGGAUAACGUAGCGAAAGUUACGCUAAUACCGCAUACGAUCUACGGAUGAAAGCGGGGGACCGUAAGGCCUCGCGCGAUUGGGGGGGCCGAUGUCAGAUUAGGUAGUUGGUGAGGUAAAGGCGCACCAAGGCGACGAUCAGUAGCUGGUCUGAGAGGACGACCAGCCACACUGGCACUGCGACACGGUCCAGACUCCUACGGGAGGCAGCAGUGGGGAAUUUUGGACAAUGGGCGCAAGCCUGAUCCAGCCAUUCCGCGUGAGUGAAGGAGGCCUUCGGGUUGUAAAGCUCUUUCGCAAGGGAAGAAAACUUAGCCACUAACAUUGGUUGAGGUUGACGGUACCUUGAUAAGAAGCACCGGCUAACUACGUGCCAGCCGCCGCAGUAA
rnacentral:rRNA from 1 species